UCUCAUUAUUUUUUCUACAGUACUCAUUUUAAACCAUACAUUCUUCAUUAAAAUAAUAUUAUACGUAAAUCAAAAACUUUUUCUUCUUUUUUAACCAUACAUUUCUACAUCAAUCACUAUUCCAUAAUACAUUCUUCCCAAAUAAUCGGUGACAAACACACCCUUAACAGGUGGAAGGGAGUACAAGUAUAGGAGUAAAUGUACUAAGGAUAAAUUUUAAUGCAAUUGAAACAGGAUGUUUGUUGGAUCAUGCAAGCGCCUCCGCAUAGUGAAAGGAACAGAGGCAAUAGGACUCGGUUAGUAUCCUCGACCAAUUCUUUUGUUUUUCCCUCAAUAACUUGUAGAUUUUGUCGUAUGCCUCUCUUUCUUAAUUUUGUACUUUAUUGUUCACUUCAAUUGUAUGCAUCGAUUCCCCUCAUGCCCCUAACAUAAUAAUUUAUACUCCGAUGGCUCGAAUAUAAUUGUACAUUUCGAAUAAUUUGACAUUACAAAAUAAGUGAAACCAUGAAUUUGAGUUGCAGCUCCUAGAGCCGUGGAGAAAUGCAAGAACAGAAGCUAAAGUAGUGAAUUGCAGCAAAGCCUGCUCUUUUGUUCUCUGUGGUCCAAAGGCAAAAGGCACAAACGCAGGAGAAUGUUGGAUUAUGUUUUUCUUAUAUAUCAUAUGGUUUGUUGUAAUUUAUUGUUAAUCAACAGUGCUGAAAGUUUCUAAGUAUUCAUUAUUAUGGACAUAAACAAUAAAUAUAUUUGUGCUUAAGACUAUUUGACUAGCUUGUUUAUCACCAAUAAUGCCAUAAUCAUGUACUUGUUUAAUUAUUAGACUGUGUUAUUGUACUCCUUGAUAUCUUGAUUUAUAUGUGGAGUUCACA
rnacentral:lncRNA from 1 species